GACGAACGCUGGCGGCGUGCUUAACACAUGCAAGUCGAACGAAGUGGCGAACGGGUGAGUAACGCGUAAUCAACCUGCCCUUCAGAGGGGGACAACAGGUGGAAACGACUGCUAAUACCGCAUACUGAAGGAGGGGCUUGCGUCCGAUUGGCUAGUUGGAGGGGUAACGGCCCACCAAGGCGAUGAUCAGUAGCCGGUCUGGGAGGAUGGACGGCCGCAGUGGGGCUGAGUGAGGGGCCAGACGCCUGGGGGAGGCAGCAGUGGGGAAUCUUCCGCAAUGGACGAAAGUCUGACGGCGCAACGCCGCGUGAGUGAUGACGGCCUUCGGGUGGUAAAGCUCUGUUAAUCGGGACGCGGUACCGGAAUAGAAAGCCACGGCUAACUACGUGCCAGCAGCCGCGGUAAUAC
rnacentral:rRNA from 1 species